UGGCGACCGGCGCACGGGUGAGUAACGCGUAUCCAACCUGCCCUUUACUAUGGGACAGCCCGUCGAAAGGCGGAUUAAUACCGUAUGUUGUCAUGUUGAUGCAUAUUUUCAUGACCAAAGGCUUCGGCCGGUAAAGGAUGGGGAUGCGUCUGAUUAGCUUGCCGGCGGGGUAACGGCCCACCGGGGCGACGAUCAGUAGGGGUUCUGAGAGGAAGGUCCCCCACACUGGUACUGAGACACGGACCAGACUCCUACGGGAGGCAGCAG
rnacentral:rRNA from 1 species